rnacentral:sRNA from 1 species
UGCACACAAUAAGCAACUUAGUCGUCUGC